rnacentral:rRNA from 1 species
AGAGUUUGAUCCUGGCUCAGAGCGAACGCUGGCGGCAGGCCUAACACACGCAAGUCGAACGCCCCUUCGGGGGAGUGGCGGACGGGUGAGUAACACGUGGGAACGUGCCCUUUGGUACGGAACAACUGAGGGAAACUUCAGCUAAUACCGUAUAAGCCCUACUGGGGAAAGAUUUAUCGCCAUUGGAGCGGCCCGCGUUGGAUUAGGUAGUUGGUGGGGUAAAGGCCUACCAAGCCUACGAUCCAUAGCUGGUCUGAGAGGAUGAUCAGCCACACUGGGACUGAGACACGGCCCAGACUCCUACGGGAGGCAGCAGUGGGGAAUCUUGCGCAAUGGGCGAAAGCCUGACGCAGCCAUGCCGCGUGAAUGAUGAAGGUCUUAGGAUUGUAAAAUUCUUUCACCGGGGAAGAUAAUGACGGUACCCGGAGAAGAAGCCCCGGCUAACUUCGUGCCAGCAGCCGCGGUAAUACGAAGGGGGCUAGCGUUGCUCGGAAUUACUGGGCGUAAAGGGCGCGUAGGCGGAUAGUUUAGUCAGAGGUGAAAGCCCAGGGCUCAACCUUGGAACUGCCUUUGAUACUGGCUAUCUUGAGUUCGGGAGAGGUGAGUGGAAUGCCGAGUGUAGAGGUGAAAUUCGUAGAUAUUCGGCGGAACACCAGUGGCGAAGGCGACUCACUGGCCCGAUACUGACGCUGAGGCGCGAAAGCGUGGGGAGCAAACAGGAUUAGAUACCCUGGUAGUCCACGCUGUAAACGAUGAGUGCUAGUUGUCGGCAUGCAUGCAUGUCGGUGACGCAGCUAACGCAUUAAGCACUCCGCCUGGGGAGUACGGUCGCAAGAUUAAAACUCAAAGGAAUUGACGG